rnacentral:misc_RNA from 1 species
UCUCCGUUGGUGAACCAGCGGAGGGAUCAUUACCGAGUUUACAACUCCCAAACCCCUAUGUGAACGUUACCAAACUGUUGCCUCGGCGGGAAAUUCAUGCCCCGGGCGCGUCGCAGCCCCGGACCAAGGCGCCCGCCGGAGGACCAACCAAAACUCUUUUGUAUGUCCCUCGCGGACUUUUAUAAUUCUGAACCAUCUCGGCGCCCCAAGCGGGCGUUUCGAAAAUGAAUCAAAACUUUCAACAACGGAUCUCUUGGUUCUG